UUGGUGAUGUCUUGUGUGAACGUCGCGAGGACAGCAGGCUUCCUCUUCAUGCUGAAGAGUGUGAACGCACUGGGCGUGCUGUUCACACAAGGACUGUGCACGUCUCGCGUCUCUGUCGGGUCAAACGUGCUGCACGCCUC